rnacentral:rRNA from 1 species
UCUGGUUGAUCCUGCCAGUUGUCAUAUGCUUGUCUCAAAGAUUAACCCAUGCAUGUGUAAGUAUAAGUAUUGUACAGCGAAACUGCGAAUGGCUCAUUAAAUCAGUUAUUAUUUACUUGGUAAUCGAAAGUUACAUGGAUAACCGUGACAAAUUACAGCUAAUACAUGCAUUCAGGCCUGGUCAAAAGGGUCGUAAUUAUUAGUAUUAAACCUCUUCCUUUUGGAGCGUGAUGAAUCAUAAUAAUCGAACGAAUCGCAGAGUUCUGCGAUAAAUCAUUCAAGUCUCUGCCCUAUCAGCUUUGGAUGGCAGUGUAUUGGACUACCAUGGCAGUCACGGGUAACGGAGAAUUAGGGUUCGAUUCCGGAGAGGGAGCCUGAGAAACGGCUACCACAUCUACGGAAGGCAGCAGGGACGAAAAUUGCCCAAUCCCGACACGGGGAGGCAGUGACAAGAAAUAACAACUCUUGGAAUUCUAAGAAGUGUAAUGAGGAUAAUUUACAACCCUUACCGAAAGCAAUUGGAGGACAAGUCUGGUGCCAGCACCCGCGGUAAUUCCAGCUCCAAUAGCAUAUACUAAAGUUGUUGCAGUUAAAAAGCUCGUAGUUGAAGUUCUGGUUGUUCGGUCCUCGAGCUCUGUAGCUCCGGAAUCGACAAUCAUCCGCUUGCAAAUAUACGUUCUCCUUUAACCGGGAGGCUAUAUGAGUAAGCAUUUUACCUUGAGAAAAACAGAGUGUUCCAGGCAGGUUUGUCCGGAAUGCGUUAGCAUGGAAUAAUAGAAUAUGACUGGGUCAAUUUAUUGGUUUGAGGCUUAAGUAAUGAUUAAUAGGAACAGUCGGGGGCAUUGGUACUUGACAGUCAGAGGUGAAAUUCAAGGAUUUGUCAAAGACUAACAAAUGCGAAAGCAUUUGCCAAGGAUGUUUUCAUUAAUCAAGAACGAAAGUUAGGGGAUCAAAGACGAUCAGAUACCGUCCUAGUCUUAACUAUAAACUAUACCGACUCGGAUUCGGAUGAAUCAAAAAGUUCAUUCGGGACCGUAGGAGAAAUCAAAGUUUUUGGGUUCUGGGGGAAGUAUGGUCGCAAGGCUGAAACUUAAAGGAAUUGACGGUUUUGCACCACCAUGGAGUGGAGUCUGCGGCUUAAUUUGACCCAACACUGGGAAACUCAUCAGGGCAAGAAGAUUUUAGGAUUGACAGAUUGAGAGUUCUUUCUUGAUUGGUCUAGUGGUGGUGCAUGGCCGUUCUUAGUUGGUGGAGUGAUUUGUCUGGUUAAUUCCGUUAACGAACGAGACCUUAACCUGCUAACUAGUACACUUACCCUUAGUAUGUGUUACUUCUUAGAGGGACUAUGUGAUGGAAUCACAUGGAAGUUUGAGGCAAUAACAGGUCUGUGAUGCCCUUAGAUGUCUUGAGCUGCACGCGUACUACAAUGGUGUUUUCAGCGAGCAUUUCCUGAUCCGUAAGGAUUUGGGUAAUCUUUUUAGUGAACACCGUGCUUGGGAUUGAUCUUUGUAAUUAUGGAUCAUGAACUAGGAAUUCCUAGUAAGCACGAGUCAUCAACUCGUGCUGAUUACGUCCCUGCAAAAUGUACACACCGCCCGUCGCUUUUACCGAUUGAGUGUUCAGGUGAACCUUCUUGAUAGCCUUCAAAAGCUAAAAAUUAAGUAAAUCUUAGCACUUAGA